CUGAAAGAUAAAGGCAAAACCAAAUUAGGCAACCAAAGGACAUAGAAAGUCAUCUUCUUCAAUCUCUAUGCCACCGCCACUGAUGAUCUCGAAGCACCAGUUGCUCACCGGAUAUCAACUUCCCAAUGUCGUAUCUCCAUCAUUUCAGCUGCUUCCACACUCAAACUUGACUCCGGAGAUCGGAAUCUAUGGAGACCUCCCAAUCUGAGAAAAUGCUGCUCUUGGGUGCUGCUAUAAAAUGCUCCAGAUAGGAGCUAUCAACAAUCGAAUACACCACUAAGAACUUCGGAGUCUUGAUUUCGUACCACUUUGGACACCCAUAUGCUCUCACCAUGUGCAUGGGCUUCAGAUUUUUUGGGAUCGUGAAGAACAACACCGUACGGGAUGUCGAAACGAGGACGAUGAGGUUUUGCCGGGAACAAGUUCAGAAUGUCACUGGGUCUGCCGGUGGUGGCGACGGUGAACUGUGCUGAUAACACUGGUGCGAAGAACCUGUACAUCAUUUCCGUGAAAGGGAUCAAGGGAAGGCUUAACUGGUUGCCUUCAGCUUGUGUUGGAGAUAUGGUAAUGGCUACUAUAAAGAAGGGUAAGCCAGAUCUCAGGAAGAAGGUUAUGCCUGCUGUCAUUGUUCGUCAGCGCAAGCCAUGGUGUUAGUUUCGCUCUUUCCGUCCAUCACUAGCCAAGGUUCAUUUGAGUUCGAGGUCACUAGUGAAGUCGGUUGUGGUGGAAUAGCUUAUUUCAGCUCGUCAUUGUCUCAGUCACUGCUCAUAACGAGGCCCUCAACACAUUGCUCAAGCAAAGAAAAUCAUGGUAGCCAUCUCCAUCCACAAGU